rnacentral:rRNA from 1 species
GACAGAGGUGCCAAGCGUUAGGCGGAAUCACUGGGCGUAAAGGGCGUGUAGGCGGUCAGGUAAGUGGGACGUGAAAUCCCUCGGCUCACCCGAGGACCUGCGUCCCAUACUGCUUGGCUUGAGUAUGGGAGAGGAUGAGGGAAUUCCUGGUGUAGCGGUGAAAUGCGUAGAUAUCAGGAGGAACACCGGUGGCGAAGGCGCUCAUCUGGCCCAAUACUGACGCUGAGGCGCGAAAGCUAGGGGAGCAAACGGG